GGCGGCCGUGUUCACCUGUCCCAUGCUUCCUCGCCUCACGCGGCAUCUACCUGGUGGCGCACAUACCUGGGAGAGAACAAGGGGGACCCUCCUCUUCCCACUGCUCUAUUUCUCUCUCCGUCUUUGAGAAGAAUGAGCAAAGAACCUGUCUCUCCAUCCAGAACUCCUUUGCUUUUCUCCCCAUGCCGUGGCUGCGCGCUGCCCUUCCGGGGAUCUACCUGAGCCUUUCUGGAAGGAGCGCUUACAGAAGUAUCUUGCGGUUUUUCUACCGGUGUUUGCGAAUAAUGAUCCAGUCAAGGCAAGAAUAAGAGCUUGAAAAUACAGAACACCCAAGCAUUCCCUGCUUUCUUUGCAAAAUUUCCUCUGGGAUUGGUGCUUUAAUUUCCAGUCACUCUGAGUCAAUAACAUAUGGGUUCAGUGCCAUUAUUGACUCUCACAAUUUCUUGUCUCAAUCCCAUAGUUCGUAGAGCUUGGGGCUUGGGGUCACUGGCAGGGGUUUUGAUUUGCGGCUUUCUGUGUUUACACAAAAGGGCAAGUCAAUAUCUCCCCUGUAUCGGUGAAUUCUGGACUAAACUGAUCUAUCAAGCGUUGUAAACAAAUGAAGACCUUAAAGACAGAAAGAAGCCUCUCUGGAAGUCUCCACUGCCUUUACAUUUCAUUGAAUCCACAGACUCGCUUGCUCCCCACAGAGAUCUGAGUACAGCUGAAUAAGAAAGAAAGAAAAGUCACAUGAGAAGAAUGGAAUGCUCUUACAAUAUUUUUAGGCUGCAAUGUAUACUGAAUUCCAUUCACACAGUCCUGCAGGAGGUUUCCCCUGUCUUCGCAGAACAUGCCACAACUCCUGCUUAUUGCAACAGAUACUUUCAUUUCUCAGGAACUGAUAAUAAUUAAAGAAAGAACAAACUGAGAGCCUCUUUGCAUAGGAUUGUUAAGGCAGACUUUCCCCUUUUCUUCUAUUGAUACCUCUUUUAUU